UGCUUGUCUCAAAGAUUAAGCCAUGCAUGUCUAAGUAUAAGUUUUUCUACUGCGAAACUGUGAAUGGCUCAUAUAACAGUUUAUUAUUUCCUAGCCGUUCAGUUAUUCCUUGGAUACCCAUGGUAAUUCUAGAGCUAAUACUGCUUACAGACCCAACUUCACGGAAGGGUUGCGCUUAUAUAGAUACCGAACCAACCCCGCAAGGGAUUUAGUUGAUUCAUAGUGGUCUGGCGAAUCGACUUUUUAGUCGAUGAGGCUAUCAAGUUUCUGACCUAUCAGCUUCCGACGGUAGUGUAUGGCUACCGUGGCUUUGACGGGUAACGAGAUUAGGGUUCGAUUCCGGAGAGGGAGCCUGAGAAACGGCUACCACAUCUAAGGAAGGCAGCAGGCCGCGUAAAUUACCCAAUCCUGACACAGGGAGGUAGUGACAAGAAAUAUCAAUAUAGACUUUUGUGUCUUGUAAUUGGGAUGAGCGGAACUUAAAAUCGCUUCUCGAGUAUCAAUUGGAGGGCAAGUCUGGUGCCAGCAGCCGCGGUAAUUCAGCUCCAAUAGCGUAUAUUAAAAUUGUUGCGGUUAAAACGCUCGUAGUUGGAUAUCUGUGUGAGCGGGUUCCGGUCCUUCCCAGUGAAGAUUACACGGAACUCUGCUCGCCAUAUUGUUCAGGGAGGGUGGAUGCACUUCACUGUGUGACCACGAUGAUCUGAAUUUUACUUUGAGGAAAUGAGAGUGUUCCAAGCAGGCAAUUGCCGUGAAUAUGAUAGCAUGGAAUAAUAGCACAGGACUCUUGGUUCAAUGCUGUUGGUUUGUUGAACUAGAGUAAUCACAAUAAGGAUGAGUUGGGGGUAUUCGUAUUUAACUGUCAGAGGUGAAAUUCUUGGAUUUUUAAAGACGAACAAUUGCGAAGGCGAUCUACCCAGGAUGUUUUGUUGAUCAAGAACGAAAGUUAGGGGAUUCGAAGACGAUCAGAUACCGUCCUAGUCUUAACCUUAAACUAUGCCGGCUGGAGAUUGGAGUCGUCAGAUUUUUGACGUCUUCAGCAUCCUAUGAGAAAUCUAAGUCUUUGGGUUCCGGGGGAGUAUGGUCGCAAGGCUGAAACUUAAAGGAAUUGACGGAAGGGCACCACCAGGAGUGGAGCCUGCGGCUUAAUUUUGACUCAACACGGGAAAACUCACCAGGUCCAGACAUAGAUAGGAUUGACAGACUGAUAGCUCUUUCUUAAUUCUAUGGGUGGUGGUGCAUUGGCACGUUCUUAGUUGGUGGAGUGAUUUGUCUGGUUAAUUCCGUUAACGAACGAGGACCUUAACCUGCUAAAUAGUUUCCUGAACCUCGGUUCAUCGGUUUACUUCUUAGAGGGACUUCGUGUGUUUAAACGCGAGGAAGUUUGAGCAAUAACAUGUCUGUGAUGCCCUUAGAUGUCCUGGGCUGCACGCGCGCUACACUGAUGUGUCCAGUAAGCACCUAACCUCUUCCGAAGGGAACGGGUAACCUUAGCAAAGCACAUCGUGAUGGGGAUGGAUUAUUGCAAUUAUUAGUCUUGAACGAGGAAUUCCUAGUAAGCACAAGUCAUCAGCUUGUGUUGAUUACGUCCCCUGCCCU
rnacentral:rRNA from 1 species